UUAUUUUCCCAAACACCUGGAAGCAAUAUGCUUUGGGGCUUAAAUCUCCCUUUGAAAACAAGACAGCACUUAGUGCAUGGCAGCUCUAGGGCAAUGUAGCACACCCAGAGCAGAAGUUCUACUUCAGCCAGAUCAGGCCUGCCAACAAACUGCAUUUCACAGGCCUUUGUAAGAGAUGUUCCUGGUAGGCUAUAAGAGCACGGUGCAGAGCGAGUUGUUUCUUAGCUGCCAAAAGAGCUGGAAGCAAGAUGGUUUGGGGCCUAAAUGCCCCUUUGGAAACAAGGCAGCACUUCGUGCCUUGCAGCUCUGGGGCAAUGUAGCACACACAGAGCAGAAGUUCUACUUCAGCCAGAUCAUGACUGCAAAGAAACUGCGUUUCUCAGGCCUUUGUAAGAGAUGUUUCCGGUAGGCUGCAAGAGCACUGUGCAGAGCAAGUUGUUUCUUAGCUUCCCAAACACCUUGAUCCAAGAUGCUUUGGGGCUUAAAUCCCCCUUUGCUAACAAGGCAACAACUCAUGCCUUGCAGCUGUAGGGCAAUGUAGCAGACCCGUAGCAGAAGUUCUACUUCAGCCAGAUGAGGCCUGCCAAGAAACUGCAUUUCACAGGCCAUUGUCAGAGACGUUCCCGGUAGACUGUAAGAGCACUGUGCAGAGCGAGUUGUUUCUUAGCUUCCCAACCAGCUGGAAGCAAGAUGGUUUGGGGCCUAAAUCCCCCUUUGCAAACAAGGCAACACUUUGUGUCUUGCAGCACUAGGGCAAUGUAGCACACCCAGAGAAGAAGAUCUAAUUCAGCUAGAUCAGGUCUGCAAAGAAACCGCGUGUCACAGGCAUUUGUAGUAGAUGUUCCCGACAGGCUGUAAGAGCGCUGUGCACAGCGAGUUGUUUCUUAGCUGCCCAAAGAGCUGGAAGCAAGAUGCUUUGGGGUCAAUCUCACCCUUUGGAAACAAGGCAUGACAUUAUGCCUUGCAGCUCUAGGGCAAUGUAGCACACUCAGAGCAGAAGUUCUACUUCAUCAAGAUCAGGCCUGCCAAGGAACUGCGUUUCAAGGCCUUUGUAAGAGAUGUUCCCGGUAGGCUGUAAGAGCACUGUGCAGAGCGAGUUGUUUCUUAGCUUCUCAAACACCUGGUAGCAAGAUGCUUUGGGGCCAAUCUCACGUUAUGGAAACAAGGCAGGACGUUGAGCCUUGCAGCUGUAGGGCAAUGUAGCAGACUCGUAGCAGAAGUUCUACUUCAG
rnacentral:lncRNA from 1 species